rnacentral:tRNA from 1 species
UUCGGCUUAGUCAAUCGUGAUUAAACUUCACGGCUAUCAA